rnacentral:misc_RNA from 1 species
AACGCACAUUGCGCCCUUUGGCAUUCCGAAGGGCAUGCCUGUUCGAGCGUCAUUAUCCUCCCUCAAACCUCGGGUUUGGAGUUGGACCACGCGGGUGCCGUCUGCGCCCCGCGGGUCUCAAAGACAAUGACGGCGUCCGUGGGACCCUCUUCGCACUGAGCUUUCCGGAGCACGCGUCGAGUUGCAAGGUCCCCGGGGGCCGGUCACCUCUAUUAUCUUUCUAGGUUGACCUCGGAUCAGGUAGGAAUACCCGCUGAACUUAA